AACGGCCGCGGUAUCCUAACCGUGCAAAGGUAGCAUAAUCACUUGCCUAUUAAUUGUAGGCUAGAAUGAAUGGGUUAACGAAAUAAAGACUGUCUCAAUUAAUCACCUAAAAAUUACUAUCUAUCUGAAGAAGAAUAGAUAAUCUCGAAGGACAAGAAGACCCUAUAGAGCUUAAUUUUAAUUAUAGAGCUACACUAUGAAAAUAUUCGGUUGGGGCGACCCAGGGCUAAUCAAUCACCCACUACAUAAAAGAUAAAUUAAUCAAGUAAUUGACCCCUAAAAGAUCAUAAGAACAAGCUACCUUAGGGAUAACAGGCUAAUCCCACUCAAGAGUCCUUAUCAACAGUGGGGUUUGGCACCUCGAUGUUGGCUUAGG
rnacentral:rRNA from 1 species